UAAACACUAGUGCAAUAGUUAUGGAGCUCUAUGACAUUGUUGUGGUCUAGUUCAGCCACCUCGUUCAUCACCCCUUUAAACCAUUCGAAGGACCCUUGCUCCCUUGUCACCCAAUAAAAAUAUGCCCUGCUUGUCUUGAAGUUUUCUUUUCGUUUUAGUGUAUUAGGACUAAGUGUUCGUGGCAAUGUACCAUUUUCUAGUGCACCCUCUCCUUCUUCUUCCAUGUCCCUGAUGUUGCUCACUAUAUCCUUGACAAUGCUUAUCAUUGGGGUUGCUCCAAUUCCUAGACCCACAAGCAGAACCACGUCAUAUUUCUUGUAGUCCUGUGCUGGUGCUCCAUAUGGACCAUCAAUCAAA
rnacentral:misc_RNA from 1 species